rnacentral:lncRNA from 1 species
UUGUUACGUUAUUUCUCUCAUAUAACGUGAAUUUUCCUAUGUUGGUCAAACAAAACUAAAACACAGAGUAUAGUAACAAAACCAGUUAUUUAUUUUGCAGCACAGCAUUUUUAGUUAUACAAAAUCAUAUUUAAAACUUCUCAAUAUCAUUCAAUCAGAACAUCUUUUCUAUAGAUCUGGCAUUAUUAUUGUCCUUCAAUUCCCUUCUUAACUAAUUCAUUCAUUUUCCCCUCCCCUAAAAUAAAACAUUCUAAGCUUUUAUACCCUUACUCUUGCGCAUUAGGGUAGUGUGCAAAAAUGUGAUAGGGUGGUGUGCAAAAUAGUUGCGCUGCGCGACCUUUGUACUACGCAACCCUUGCGCAGCACGACCACUGCACUGCCCAACAUUUACAACAGUAACUCUUGUGCGACCUCUGCGCAGCUAAAGCUGCCCAACCUCUGCGCAACAUUCAUUCUAAACAUAUUUGCGCAAGAACCUAGUGUGCGCAACCCAGUUGUGCAGACAGUGUCUAAAUUGCACUUAAAAGACUGAGUAAGCAUAUGCUAUUGCAUAUUUACUAGAAAAACAACUAAAAAUAUAUGGUUUUAUACUAAUUAGUGCCUUAUACUAAAUAUAAUAGACUAGUAGGUAUAUUUGCUAUAUACUUCAAUAUAAACCUAAUAUAGAAUACAUAAAUGAUAUGCAGACUAUAUAAAAUAAUAAAGGGGUUAAAGAAAUAGCUUUCUGACACUUGGAACAUUCUACUCUGGAUGUAGAGGGCCAAACAUAGACCAAAAACUGAACCAAGUAACCUGAGGAUAUUUGUAAACAAUCUUACAACUGAUUACUAUGGCAUUUCAUUCAUGAAAUCUGAUAGCUUGUCCUAGUUUUUGCAGACCAAGCAAUGCUGGAUGCUGGAAAUAAAAAUAGAACAAAGACCUCAAAUGACCUGUGCGACAUAACCCUGCGCGACCCUUCCUGCGCGACCUUUCCAUAUUUGGCUGUCUAUUUUUAGUGUACGAAACAAUAACAACAAGCUGAGUCAGUUAAUUUCAACCCAGAGACAAUGGCUAUUUAUAAUUUGUAUAUAACUCAUUAAAAAUGAUAGCCCAGUAUAUACCAGCUUAAAAAUACCCUAUUUCUUGAAAACUUCCUUUGAAUUCUGCAACAAUAUUGACAAACACGUGCAUGGAUGUCAUGUUUUAGAUUUCACAAUGGUUAAGUGGAUGGUGCAGCUUGGUCCUUUUUCUAAGGCACAACAGGGAAGAAACUUUUAAUUGAUGGAACUAUAACUUCCGAAGGACAACCUUGCUGGUACCAUAAAGCUGCUGAUAACCAGAGGUGCACUAGUACCAGUCAGUACCAGUCACCAGAGAUGCACUGGUACCCUAUUGAUGCCUAUCAUCAGAGGUGUGCUGGGCCCCUUAUGUCAACAUAUUAAUCAACUGUUUUCGGCCAGCACUGUUUGAUGGUCUCAAUGGAAUUCAAGGCUUAGUGGACAUGUUGUCUGUAUUUGGCCUGUCGUGCUCAUGUUAGAGAGCUCUUCCACACCUCUUGCACAAAAUGGAAAAUCCUUGAUGGCCGGACAGACAAAGAACUCAGUUGGGUUUAAAAAGGCAAGAAGAUAGUGUUUUACGUUGCUGAAAGACAUAGAAAAGAACCGAUUGCAGAAAAAUAUCACCAUGCCGUCCUGUGUUUGUUAUUUCCGAUAGAUGGCAGCGCAAUGCAUUCCAGAUUGAUUUCAAACACACAAGAGAAAUAUAUGCAGAAGGAAGAACAAAGUAUGAUGAAUUCAUGACAAACCUUGCACAAGAUAUAAGCAUAUCACCAUCACAGCCGCCCUGACACGAGCAUAUUUAAACAAAUUAGAAAUAAGCUGACACGUUUAUAAUCAUAUCCCCACGUACAAAGUAUAUGGGGUUAUAUUGGAGUCACGUAUGUCCAACAGUCCGUUCGUCCAUCCGCCCAUCGUGUCCGCUUUCAUAAAACUGACAUCAGUUAUUAAUUUCAUCAGGAUGGUGUGCAGAGCUCACAACUCAUGUCAUUAGGUCCAAAGUUAAGGUUACCUUUUGAGGUCUAAAGUCAAGUAGUUUAACUUCAUGUCCGCUCCAUAUUGUCUAAAUGGCUUGGCAGGUACUUAACUCGACUAUUCGAAGAUUAAAGAGAAUUAUUGUACUUGCCUUUGCGUCGUCGUCACUGCCACCGAUGUAUUCAUGUUAAAAUUUUAUGGCAAGCUUGUUUUACUAUAUAUUCUUUACUAUUUCCCCUUUUAACUUCAAACUUCACAAGUGUUAGUCUUGGUAAGGGACAGACAUCUGUUAUUUUAAACGUCAAGGUCACUGGGUCAAACAUUAUAACAGUGCUGGUUAAAGUUUUAUGACAAACUUCUCAUUUGCACUAUAUCCUCUUAUCCACUAUCCUAUAAUCAUCAAACCUUACAUAAGGAUUGACCUUAGGAAGGGGCAAAAGUCUUUAGGUUUAAGAUCAGGUAGGUCAAAGGUCAAGGGCACUGGGUCAGAUUUUGUAAUAAUGUUCGUUAAAGUUUUAUGCACGCUUCACAAUUGGACUUAUUACUCAUACUGUUUCUUUGCACUGGUAUGUCCCACGCUUUUGAGCCCUACCCAUACUUUCUAUACCCCAAUCCCGACACCUACCAAAAGAUACAUUCCUCACACAAACUUAUAUUUCAUAUUCCCCUCAUUUCCGCUACCCACCUGUCUCCACCUACCACCUUCAACCCCAUUUCACCACCUCUUGCCCAGAACAAAGAUUUAUUAUGUCUCCCCCAGGAGACAUAUUGUUUUUGCCCUGUCCGUCCGUCCGUCCGUCCGUACGUCACACUUCAUUUCUGAGCAAUAACUGGGGAACCAUUUGACCUAGAAC